rnacentral:piRNA from 1 species
UGUGACUCACUACAUUCCACUCCUUGUUGGG